rnacentral:rRNA from 1 species
AACGAACGCUGGCGGCAUGCCUAACACAUGCAAGUCGAACGAAGGCUUUGGCCUAAGUGGCGCACGGGUGAGUAACGCGCGGGAAACUGCCUAUUGGUGGGGAAUAACGACGGGAAACUGUCGCUAAUACCGCAUAAGCCCUUCGGGGGAAGGGUUUAUCGCCGAUAGAGGUGCCCGCGUCCGAUUAGCGAGUUGGUGAGGUAAUGGCUCACCAAGGCGACGAUCGGUAGCUGGUCUGAGAGGAUGAUCAGCCACACUGGGACUGAGGCAGGGCCCAGACUCCUACGGGGGGCAGCAGUGGGGAAUAUUGGACAAUGGGCGAAAGCCUGAUCCAGCAAUGCCGCGUGAGUGAUGAAGGCCUUAGGGUUGUAAAGCUCUUUCGGGUGGGACGAUGAUGACGGUACCACCAGAAGAAGCCCCGGCUAACUUCGUGCCAGCCGCCGCCGUAA